rnacentral:rRNA from 1 species
GAUGAACGCUAGCUACAGGCUUAACACAUGCAAGUCGAGGGGAAACGACAUUGAAAGCUUGCUUUUGAUGGGCGUCGACCGGCGCACGGGUGAGUAACGCGUAUCCAACCUGCCCAUCACUUGGGGAUAACCUUGCGAAAGUAAGACUAAUACCCAAUGAUAUCUCUAGAAGACAUCUGAAAGAGAUUAAAGAUUUAUCGGUGAUGGAUGGGGAUGCGUCUGAUUAGCUUGUUGGCGGGGUAACGGCCCACCAAGGCAACGAUCAGUAGGGGUUCUGAGAGGAAGGUCCCCCACAUUGGAACUGAGACACGGUCCAAACUCCUACGGGAGGGAGCAGUGAGGAAUAUUGGUCAAUGGGCGAGAGCCUGAACCAGCCAAGUAGCGUGCAGGAAGACGGCCCUAUGGGUUGUAAACUGCUUUUAUAAGGGAAUAAAGUGAGAGUCGUGACUCUUUUUGUAUGUACCUGAUGAAUAAGGACCGGCUAAUUCCGUG